UCGGAUUUAGGGGGUGCUGCCCGCCUUACGGCCCUGCGCCCUGGCGUUGGACGUGGCUCGAGGAAUGCUGCCACGUGUGCGUACCAUUCAGCCUGAGCUGGAUGAUGCUACAAGGUAGCCCUGGGAAGAGCUGUCGUUGCAUCAUCUGCACAGCUGCCAGGUUGUGCACGCAGACCUCAAACCUGGUACGCAACGCGCGCCUGCAUGCAUGGCUCGCACCAUCAAUGAUGGAUAAUUCAUAAAUAACAACUAUGGUGAUGACGAUGCUUGCAGUUUCCCAUUUUCUCGAUGCCUCCGUAAUUGCCUUCGUGGUUUGUCAAACGCAACAAGCUUACGGUGAUACACGGUCGCGCCCCCGCAGGUGGCGGCUGCUGGUCAGUUGUCGCCCCAUGCUGACGUGUGGUCGUUUGGCCUCAUCCUCAUGGGUGCUCCCUAAACCAAGUACUGUGCAUUUGCGCCGCCAUCCGGGGCUUUGCAGUCCACAGGGGCAAGCAGACGCCGCCGCCAGAAACCUUACUCAGGUUGGGCAUAUGCUUG
rnacentral:lncRNA from 1 species